AGUGAACGCUGGCGGUAGGCCUAACACAUGCAAGUCGAACGGCAGCACAGUAAGAGCUUGCUCUUACGGGUGGCGAGUGGCGAACGGGUGAGGAAUACAUCGGAAUCUACUUUUUCGUGGGGGAUAACGUAGGGAAACUUACGCUAAUACCGCAUACGACCUACGGGUGAAAGCAGGGGAUCUUCGGACCUUGCGCGAUUGAAUGAGCCGAUGUCGGAUUAGCUAGUUGGCGGGGUAAAGGCCCACCAAGGCGACGAUCCGUAGCUGGUCUGAGAGGAUGAUCAGCCACACUGGAACUGAGACACGGUCCAGACUCCUACGGGAGGCAGCAGUGGGGAAUAUUGGACAAUGGGCGGAAGCCUGAUCCAGCCAUACCGCGUGGGUGAAGAAGGCCUUCGGGUUGUAAAGCCCUUUUGUUGGGAAAGAAAAGCAGCAGGUUAAUACCCCGCUGUUCUGACGGUACCCAAAGAAUAAGCACCGGCUAACUUCGUG
rnacentral:rRNA from 1 species